AUUUUUAGGGGACGGCUUGCAAGUAACAGUUAUCGCAGGACACCGUCAAUAUACGUGGCGGUACUUGAAUGCAGUCUGUAAGAAAUAUCCUUAUUUUGACAUUUUGCCUGCCGCAGGGUCUUUCUUCCAGGAUAUUGGGUUCGCGUCCGUACCGGAGGUGCUUCAGGGCAAUUAAUUAAGGUUGCAUCCCGCCGUAUGAGAUAAUGAUUAACAAUUUUAAUGAAAAUGGCAAUGAUCUGCUCCGGAAGCUAUGUAUUUGAAAGAACUUUCCCUUGUGUAGUGCCAGCAGUCGGUCACCUGACAGUGCAAACGCAAACUUUAUCUACCAAGAUAAAAUUAUAACGGGAUACUUCUUAUGUUCUCAUAUUGGUUCAAUACUCAUAGCGGGGAUGCAAAGCGUUACGCCUACUUCUACCUCCUUUGGGGAUGCGAAAGCAAUUAUUGGUGGGAACUCUUUUGCGACGAAUCAAAGGACAUUUAGUUCUGAUUCUAAGAUAAUAUUGACCUUAACCGAGGCCGCUACAUCCCUGGAUUGCCCUUGCCGUGCAGAAUCUACCUCCGCUCGCUGCACUACGCGUGUUCGCUGACCUGGCGGGCGCCGGUUGAAGCUAGCGAGUAUGACGUGCGUUUGAGUGCAUGAAUCUGUCUACAGCUCAACAGUUAUUCAAUUGGUUCUUUUUGACGAGCAGGAACAGGAUGACGGUUCCUUUCUGCUGUACGGUGCUCACCCGGAAGCCUUCAACUGUUGUCCUCCGGAACGCUUUUCAGCAUUCAUCCAUUCCUCAUUGACCCCUGUUUCCAAGGAGAAGGUAGUCCCGUCACUGCCGUUAUUUUAAGUGUUGCAAAAUGUUGCAAUGCCCGGCUUGCAAGCCGUGGUCUUUGCUCUGGUAAAG
rnacentral:lncRNA from 1 species